AGAGUUUGAUCAUGGCUCAGGAUGAACGCUAGCUACAGGCUUAACACAUGCAAGUCGAGGGGAAACGACAUCGAAAGCUUGCUUUUGAUGGGCGUCGACCGGCGCACGGGUGAGUAACGCGUAUCCAACCUGCCCAUCACUUGGGGAUAACCUUGCGAAAGUAAGACUAAUACCCAAUGACGUCUCUAGAAGACAUCUGAAAGAGAUUAAAAGAUUUAUCGGUGAUGGAUGGGGAUGCGUCUGAUUAGCUUGUUGGCGGGGUAACGCCCACCAAGGCGACGAUCGAGUAGGGGUUCUGAGAGGAAGGUCCCCACAUUGGAACUGAGACACGGUCCAAAACUCCGUACGGAGGCA
rnacentral:rRNA from 1 species